AUUGGAGAGAUUUAAGCUUCUAAGCCCGCAAGGCAUGUCUGAAAAUCUCAACUCUGAGCUGUAGAGGAGGCAGAGUCCUGUCUGGUGCCUCUGGCAUGACCUGAGUGAUACUUGCCUAUCAGGGGAGAUGGAAAGGAAUUCAGGGGAUUUGCACUGUUCUUGAUACUGCAGUACUUUGUCCUAGGCUGAGCAAACAACCAUCUGGUAUUGGGAUUUAUAGCUGACUGUGCUGGGAACAAUUUCAGAUGGAAUUUCUUUAACAGAAAAGGUAAACUACAGACUUCCAUCUGAAGGGAGAGGAGAUAAUUUAUUCAGUGAAGACAUUUAUAAUGCAGAUCCUGGCAAACUACAUUAUCCUAAGGAUGUAAAAGUUCUACGAAUGAAGCAUUGAGAUGCAAUGUUUCCAAUCAAAUUCACAUUUACAUAUUUCAAGUUUAUUACAAAUCUAAUAUCUCCUUAUUUUGUCACAGUAACUGAAGUCAAUGACAGGACAGCCUGGGAAGUCAAAGGUGUAUGGGAACUGCUGAAUCACGGCCUGAAUCUCUGAUUGAUCACCUGAGGCAAGCAAUGAGUCAGCACAGGAGCACAGGUGAAGGCAAUUCAGCUGUACUGCUGGAAGUGGUGGAGCCUGGCUGCACCUCUCCUUGACCCAGCUAAGAGCUGACCACCAGCAGGAAGGAUCUCUUCUGGAGAU